GACGAACGCUGGCGGCGUGCCUAAUACAUGCAAGUCGAGCGGACAGACGGGAGCUUGCUCCCUGUUGUUAGCGGCGGACGGGUGAGUAACACGUGGGUAACCUGCCUGUAAGACUGGGAUAACUCCUGGAAACCGGGGCUAAUACCGGAUGGUUUUCUGAACCGCAUGGUUCAGACAUAAAAGGUGGCUUCGUCUACCACUUACAGAAGGACCCGCGGCGCAUUAGCUAGUUGGUGAGGUAACGGCUCACCAAGGCAACGAUGCGUAGCCGACCUGAGAGGGUGAUCGGCCACACUGGGACUGAGACACGGCCCAGACUCCUACGGGAGGCAGCAGUAGGGAAUCUUCCGCAAUGGACGAAAGUCUGACGGAGCAACGCCGCGUGAGUGAUGAAGGUUUUCGGAUCGUAAAGCUCUGUUGUUAGGGAAGAACAAGUGCCGUUCAAAUAGGGCGGCACCUUGACGGUACCUAACCAGAAAGCCACGGCUAACUACGUG
rnacentral:rRNA from 1 species